ensembl:snRNA U6 U6 spliceosomal RNA
GUUAUUUCCUUAGGAUCAAUUUCUGAAGUGGAUCGAUACAGAGAUUAGCAUGACCCUUGUGCAGUGAUGAUGUGCCAAUUCAGGAAGCAUUCUGUAUUUUU